rnacentral:misc_RNA from 1 species
GUCGCCGUCACCGCCGCGCCGUCACCGCCGUCUCCAUCACUGUAUCGUCGAGCCGUUUUGCUGCAACACUUAGUAUCAGGUAUGGGAGCUGACGAGGUUACAGUGGAGCAGACUCCUUCUGGAACAACGUCUGAAUCUAUUGAAGCCUUGCUUGAGGCUGCCAGAUAUGAUGAUUUGGAUGAUGUCAUGAGCUUAGCAUCUUCUGGUGUUUCUCUUGAUUCAAAGGAUUCCGAGGGACGAACAGCACUUCAUAUGGCUUCAGCAAAUGGGCAUUGUGGCAUUGUAGAGUAUCUUAUUCGUAAUGGAGCGGAUGUUAAUGCUUCCAAUGUGGAGAAAAAUACACCUCUUCAUUGGGCUUGUCUAAAUGGACAUAUCGAGGUAGUGAAGACCUUAAUCCUUGCUGGUGCAACUGUCUCAGCCUUAAAUAGCCAUGAGAGGACUCCAAUCGACGAGGUCGUGUGUAGGGGUAAAAUGAACGUCAUCGAUGCGAUCAACGAGGCGGUAGCACAACUUGAACUCACUGGCACAACGGUAUCAUAAGAAGUCGAAAUUUUACUUGUACAUUUUUCAUGUGAGGAUGCAAAAAUCUUGCUGGUGGUCAUUGUGUACAAUGUUUUCUAGCCUCUCUUUCAAGUAUUAUGUAAGGUUUGAACUUCUAGUGCUCUCUCAUAUCAUAUAUUUGGUGACUAAGUUGACAAUGGCAAAUGAUGCAUACUCCAUUAUGUUAGUGUCAAUUUCCUUGACCAAUUUAUCAAGUCAGUUCUACAAGGACAGCUUUUCUUUAAUCAGUUUCGAAAGUUGAGAGAUUCCGAGAUGUUUGGAUUUUCCAUGGACAUGCUGAAGAAAAA